GAGAGUUUGAUCCUGGCUCAGGAUGAACGCUAGCUACAGGCUUAACACAUGCAAGUCGAGGGGCAGCAUGGUCUUAGCUUGCUAAGGCCGAUGGCGACCGGCGCACGGGUGAGUAACGCGUAUCCAACCUGCCUUACACUCUUGGACAGCCUUCUGAAAGGGAGAUUAAUACAAGAUGUUAUCACGAGUAAGCAUUUUCGCAUGAUUAAAGGUUUACCGGUGUAAGAUGGGGAUGCGUUCCAUUAGAUAGUAGGCGGGGUAACGGCCCACCUAGUCUUCGAUGGAUAGGGGUUCUGAGAGGAAGGUCCCCCACAUUGGAACUGAGACACGGUCCAAACUCCUACGGGAGGCAGCAGUGAGGAAUAUUGGUCAAUGGACGAGAGUCUGAACCAGCCAAGUAGCGUGAAGGAUGAAGGUUCUAUGGAUUGUAAACUUCUUUUAUACGGGAAUAAACGAAUCCACGCGUGGAUUUUUGCAUGUACCGUAUGAAUAAGGAUCGGCUAACUCCGUGCCAGCAGCCGCGGUAAUACGGAGGAUCCGAGCGUUAUCCGGAUUUAUUGGGUUUAAAGGGAGCGUAGAUGGGUUGUUAAGUCAGUUGUGAAAGUUUGCGGCUCAACCGUAAAAUUGCAAUUGAUACUGGCAGUCUUGAGUACAGUUGAGGUAGGCGGAAUUCGUGGUGUAGCGGUGAAAUGCUUAGAUAUCACGAAGAACUCCGAUUGCGAAGGCAGCUUACUAACCUGUAACUGACAUUGAUGCUCGAAAGUGUGGGUAUCAAACAGGAUUAGAUACCCUGGUAGUCCACACGGUAAACGAUGAAUACUCGCUGUAGGCGAUAUACAGUCUGCGGCCAAGCGAAAGCAUUAAGUAUUCCACCUGGGGAGUACGCCGGCAACGGUGAAACUCAAAGGAAUUGACGGGGGCCCGCACAAGCGGAGGAACAUGUGGUUUAAUUCGAUGAUACGCGAGGAACCUUACCCGGGCUUAAAUUGCAACCGAAUAUGGCGGAAACGCUAUAGCUAGCAAUAGCGGUUGUGAAGGUGCUGCAUGGUUGUCGUCAGCUCGUGCCGCGAGGUGUCGGCUUAAGUGCCAUAACGAGCGCAACCCUUGCCGAUAGUUACUAACAGGUUAUGCUGAGGACUCUGUCGGGACUGCCAUCGUAAGAUGUGAGGAAGGUGGGGAUGACGUCAAAUCAGCACGGCCCUUACGUCCGGGGCUACACACGUGUUACAAUGGGGGGUACAGAGGGCUGCUACCACGCAAGUGGAUGCCAAUCCCAAAAACCUCUCUCAGUUCGGAUUGAAGUCUGCAACCCGACUUCAUGAAGCUGGAUUCGCUAGUAAUCGCGCAUCAGCCACGGCGCGGUGAAUACGUUCCCGGGCCUUGUACACACCGCCCGUCAAGCCAUGGGAGCCGGGGGUACCUGAAGUGCGUAACCGCAAGGAGCGCCCUAGGGUAAAACUGGUGACUGGGGCUAAGUCGUAACAAGGUAGCCG
rnacentral:rRNA from 1 species